rnacentral:rRNA from 1 species
UGUAGUAAUCUAGCAGGAGUAUAUUUAGAAUAGGGUUGAGUUUGGUGAAUCAUCUAUUACUAUGCAGUACUGGAGAAGGAACAAUAGAUUUUUGGCGAUAGAGAAAAGUAGUGUGAACGAAAGAAAUAAAUAGAUUAAUAGUAGUAGUAAAUAUUCGUACCUUUUGCAUAAUGGUCUAGUAACUUUUUACUCUAAGGGGGGAUCCCGAAGAUUAGGUGAGCUAUUUUUCACCCAGAGGUUGGUGUUACAGAACCAUCUCAAGAGUGGAGAAUAGGUGUUAUAUGCUUGGCGUACUAAUCGAUAGCUGGUUAGCCCAGAAAUAUAUAUAAGUAUAGCUUCUUUCGGGUAGUUUAGCGGAAGGCAAGUUGCAGAAGGAAAGAGAGCUUUUUCAGGAUAAGCUGGAAAAGCAAAUAAAAAGAAUGCAAUUAUUUUAGUGAAGUUUAAAGUGGGUUUAUAUUAAUCAUCUUUAGAAGUUUGUUUUAAAUUAGACUUAGUGAGAAUUUUUUUUUCUUUUUUUUAUGGGCUUAUCCCAUAAAAUAAUUUUGUGGGAGAAAUAAUGCUAGAAUUAUUAGUUUAAUGUGGUGUUUGGGAAAUUUUUUCAGGUGUUAUUUUUUUAGGGAAGAGAUAGGAAUAUUAAGCAAAGUUUAAUGAACUCGGCAAAUUAGAAGAUUGACUGUUUACCAAAUACAUAGCCUUUCGGGGGUAUAAGAGAGGUUGGGCCUUCCCGGUGAGUUAAAAUCUUAAACGGACGUCUUAACAGGCUUAAAGUAGUGAAAACUCUUUAUCAGAGUUUUAGCGAAAGGUUUUACGAGUUUUCGGCUGUGUCAGAUUUGUUGUAAUAAAAUUAAAUUGGGGGUGCAAAUGCUUUCGUGAUUUAGGAGGACGAGAAGACCCCGUGAAGUUUAAAUUUUAUUGUUGUUGUUUUUAGUGAAGGGCUAUAGUAAAAUUUUAGCUGGGGCAGCGGAGGGGCUAAAUUAAGACCCCUUAGAUUUUUUUUUAAGUAUAUUAAGAUCCACUAGAGUGUUUUAGUGAUUAAAAGAAGGAAUUACUCCGGGGAUAACAGCAUAAUUCCUCUGAAAAGUUCUUAUUGAAAGAGGGGUUUGUGACCUCGAUGUUGAUUCAGAAUAUCCCGGGGUUUGUAGAAGGCCCCAAUGGUUGGUUUGUUUGCCCAUUAAAAUUCUACGUGAGUUGAGUUCAGGCCGGUGUGAGCUAGGCCGGUUUCUACCCUCUUUAUUAAAUAAAAGCAGUGUGUACGCAAGGAUAAUUGUUUUAGGGUUGGUUUCCUUAAGAAUAGAUUAAGACAGUAAUUUAUAAUAUAAGAAGGAAUAGAGCGGUAAAAGCAGGUCGAACUAGUAUAAGAAGUACA